rfam:Rheinheimera nanhaiensis E407-8 DNA, contig: CTG037.
CGUUCUCUGAGUUGUUGGUGAUCAGGUGGAUGUCCCUGAGCCGAUACUUGUUUUUAAAAAGGGAUUCUUCUGCGCUGCCAGUGUGCAGGCCCGGCCCGUACCGGGAAGCCUGAGGCAGCCAUCUGACUCCCGCCUUGAACCUAUGGUUCAAGGGCUAACACCAGACACGGCAAUUUGGAGAACCC